AGACUCUACUGCCCUUCUAUACUCUCCACUGAUAAAAAUAUUUAAACAGGAUGACUCAGAUGGACUUGGGAUAUGAGAACUAAAACCAUAAUGUCCUUCUACUUUUGAGUUGACUAGAAUACCCAAAAUCACAUUAGUAAAGAGUUGUACUUUGGACUCCACACUCUGUUAAAAGGCAAAUAUAGGUAAAGGGAAACAACCUUUAUUAGCCACUCACCUCUUGAAUAAGAGAGUGUCUUAUCAGAAUUCUUCCAGGAGUUCCCGUCAUGGCUCAGUAGUUAACGAAUCCGACUAGGAACCAUGAGGUUGCGGGUUUGAUCCCUUGGCCUUGCUCAGCAGGUUCAUUAACUGCUAAGCCAAGAUGGGAACUCCUAAAAACAUCUUUUAAUAAUAGGCAUUAUGAGAGGAAUAGAAAAAGAGAUAUACAGAAAAUGCUUCCCAAUAGAUCUGAAGCUAUCAUUAAAAAACAAAACAAGUCUUUAAGCCAUUUUGAGUUUAUUUUCGUGCAUGGUGUGAGGGUGUGUUCUAGUUUCAUUGAUUUAUAGGCAGCUGUCCAGGUUUCCCAGCAAUACUUGCUGAAAAGACUCUCUUUUUCCCAUUUUAUGUUCUUGCCUCCCUGUCAAAGAUUAAUGGACCAUAGGUGUCUGGGUUUAGUUCUGGGUUCUCUAUUCUGUUCCAUUGGUCUGCAUGUCUGUUUUGGGACCAGUACCACACUGUCUUGAUGCCUGUGGCUUUGUAAUAGUGCCUGAAGUCUGGGAGAGAGAUGCCUCCUGCUUGGUUUUUGUUCCUCAGAAUGGCUUUGGCCAUUCUGGGUCUUUUGUGGUUCCAUAUAAAUGUUUGGAUUGUUUGUUCUAGGUCUGUGAAAAAUGUCAUGGGCAAUUUGAUAGGGAUUGCAUUGCAUCUGUGGUUUGAUUUGGGUAAUGUGGCCAUUUUUACAAUAUUAAUUUUUCCAACCCAGGAGCAUGGAAUAUCUUUCCAUUUCUUGACAUCUUCUUGAAUUUCCUUGAUUAAUGUUUUAUAGUUCUCAGCAUGUAAGUCCUUUACCUCCUCGGUCAGGUGUAUUCCCAGGAUUUGAUUUUGGGGGGUGUGCAAUUUUAAAAGGUAUUGUGUUUUUGUAUUCCUUUUCUAAUAUUUCAUUGUUAGUAUACAGAAAUGUGACUGAUUUCUCAACUUAGAAUAGAUUUACAAGGAGAUCCUGCUGAAUAGCAUUGAGAACUUUGUCUAGAUACUCAUGUUGCAACAGAAGAAAGGGUGGGGGAAAAAUGUAAUUGUAAUGUAUACAUGUAAGGAUAACCUGACCCCCUUGCUGUACAGUGGGAAAAUUAAAAAAACUAUUAUAAAAAAAAUAAAAAAUAAACUUCCAGUCAAAAAAAAAAAAAAGAAAUGUGACUGAUUUCUGAAUGUUAAUCUUAAAUCCUGCUACUUGGCUGAAUGUGUUGAUCAGUUCAAGUAGUUUUUGGGUUGAGUCCUUACGGUUUUCUACAUAUAGUAUGAAAUCAUCUGCAUACAGUGACAGUUUUACCUCUUCUCUGCCUAUUUAGGUGCCUUUUAUUUCUUUUGUUUGUCUGAUUACUGUGGCUAAGACUUCCAGUACUAUGUUGAAAAGCAGCGGUGAGAGUGGGCAUCUUUGUCUUGUUCCAGAUUUUAGUGGGAAGGCUUUCAGCUUUUCUCCAUUGAGUAUUGUUUUUGCUGUGGGUUUGUCGUAAAUGGCUUUAAUUAUGUUAAGGUGGGUUCCCUCUAUACCCACUGUGGUAAGAGUUUUGAUCAUGAAUGGAUAUUGGACUUUGUCAAAUGCUUUCUCUGCAGGUAUUUAGAUGAUCAUGUGGUUUUUGACUUUUCUUUUGUUAAUGUAUAACUGGGUCACCAUGCUGUACAGUAGGAAAAAAUAAUGUAUUGGGAAAUAACAAUUUAAAAAAAUUUUUUAAAAUUAAGUGAUUUGCUUAUAAACAAAAAACAAAACAAAGCAAAACAAGACAAAAGCUUGCGCUCAUUGCAUUUUUGCUGAGAAGAUCACUUUUCACAAGCAAAUCAGAAAAAAAUAAAAUUUAGAUAACAUGGGAGGCUUAUUAUAGUUUCCACCACAUAGACUAUACCAACAAUUUACAUAACGGCUCUUGGACACUAAGCUCUGGCAGCUAUAAUUUCUUAGAAGUUUAAUCCCAGUGUUUUUAUUUUUCUCCGUGCAUCUUCUUACAUUAUAGAUAAAACAUUACAAUUCAGAAACCACACUCAGAAACAAUCAAGUUAACCCAUAACUUCUGGAACAUUCAAGUUAACUCUUACUAUACUUCUGACUGGUAGAGGUAAUUUCUAAUUGUUGAGGAAAUUUCUGUCUUCUCCUUGUAGGUGUGGAAACUGCUCCUGAAUUUCACUGGCCAUCAGUGGUGACAGGGCUCAGAACUAAGACUAAGGCUUGGGUACCAGUUUAUCAAUUCUCCUCCCCUUCAUCAUGAAUCCCAAAGCACCUCAGAAGGGCAGCCAUUGUAUGUCCAAUGCCAUACAAUUCCCAUAUAGACUCCCAGGAGGGGGAAUGGUGGUCCUGGGAUGUGAGUACCAUAACCCUCUACUUUCUGAAGCAAAACAAAAUGCAAUACAUCAACAUGAGGAGGCACUACCCAACAUUAUUUUUUAACUUAAAAUGUACCUCAGUAAAAUCAGAAUGUCAACCCAUGCAGUCUUUGCUCUUAACCAUUUUACUUAGCUCUCAUUCCCCAAUAAUAAAAUAGCAGCAUAUUUUGUAUAAUGUGAUACAUACAUUACUGAAAGUACCAUCAUUUCUCAAAAUCUGCUUUUCCUCCUAAGUUACUGAUGCUGGUUACUGACACAACCCAUCCAACCUAUCUAACUAAGCCAGAUACCUGCUUCUAAAUUCCCUAAGGCUAAUCAUUAUCACUAUUAAUCUGUCAAUUCUAUUUCCUGCAUGUCUCUCAGUCUUUCCUCUCCUGUCUACUGCUUCUGCUCUGGCCUUGUCCACUCUCCCUGGGCCCCUGCAACAGCCUCCUCCAUGGAUGCCCUGUCACUUCUUUCACAUCCUUUAUCCAUUCUUUCUCCAAUGAGCCCAAAACACAACCUCAUUAUACUACUCUCACUGAUAAAACCCUCUUAUGAGGUCCCAUCCUCUAUACCAGGGCUUAUCAAAAUAUUUCACAAAUGUAUUCAUCAUUCUAAGGGUCUUUUAAAAAGUAAAGAUUUGUGGCUGCCACCCUGGCCUUACCCUACCAGAAUUUCUGGGAAUGGGGCCCAGGAAUCUGAAUUUUGAUAAACUCUCCAGGAGAUUUUUACAGCACGCAAGUUAGAGCAAUAGAGAUGUGAGAAGAAAUUCCACCUCCCAUUGAGGCUGCAAAGGUCCCCAGGAUCCGGUCUUACUUCCUCUCCUGCUGCCUCACGCGUGCUCUCCCACAACACUCAGUUGUGCUGCAGCUGCACUAGGCCACUCACAUUGCCUUUGCAUGUGUAGCUGUCUGUCUGUUCUGUCCUGUGCGCUCUGGCCAUCUUCUAAGGUACAUCUCCUAUACUGUCCACUCCGUGAGGCCCUCCUUGAAUACACCAUGCUAAGCCAAGUAAUCCUUUCCUUCUUUCUCCCUUUGCCCCAGGAUGAUACCUUCAGAUGGCACUGUAGCUGUUUGUUUACCUGCCUGCCUCCCUUGCUGCACUGAGAACUCCUUAAGAAGUAAAGCCUGUCUUUUUCAGAUUUUACCUUCAUUUCUUUUUCAGAUCUUACUCCACUGGAACAGAGAGAACACUGACCAGUUUUUGCUGCGUGAACAAUCUUGUGUUUACCAAGCUCUGUGAAACAGACAAUUCCACAUCAGGACAGAGCAGCAGGAGUGGGUGUCAUUAGAGAUGACUUUCAUAUCAAGAAAUGAAGCCUCAUCACAAACCACAACCAGGUCAUCCCUUUCCUGCCUAAAGUCAAAAAGACCUCUAAAACUUUUCCCACUGCCGCACUCUGGGUCAGUUAGGGUGAAACUUCUUGGCAAAGCUGCCUUUUAGCAGUUUCUCUUUCCACACUGUAAAAGCUGUAGACGGAAAUUGAAACAAUGUUUGAAAUACAAGUCUGUGUAGUUAGCAUAGAAAGCUUGCAAUUAGAGAAAUAAACUGAGCCACUGACAGCAGGGAUGCUGGAUGUUGCAUUAAAUAGGCUGCUUUUGUAAACACAUGACAGAAGCUAACUUUAACCAGUCAAGUAAAAUGGAAAAUCUUCUAAUGAUACUAGGUAUUUUACGUAUCUCACACUUAAGAAUGCAGCUGGAGAUGAGGGACAUGCAGAACUGGGGGCGUGAACACACUGGCAAUCCCCCCACUUCUCAGCUUUGCUUCAUUCAUCACUUGCUACACAUACACACUAUGGAAAGCAUAGUUGCUGUAACUCCUGAGUUUCAGAUGUCAUAGUUGUAGACUCUAAAGAGAUCCUGACAGAACGCUCAAGGGAGCAGCUCAAUAACCUGAGUCAAUAGUUGAGUCAAUAGUCAAUAGUUGAGUCAAUGACUGCGUUUUCCCUGGUUAAUUCAGUAUGACAGGGACACCAUAGAACCACACUGGAAUGUGGGGCUCCAGCUAGUUAUUUGAAAGGCAGAGAUAAGCGGAGUGGGAAAUCUUUUAAGUGAUCACCGGAGAGAAUAACCUCACUGAAACUGGAAGCAAAGAGGAGAGUUUAAAUUGUGAGUGAUUCAGGUUGGAGAUGUGGAAUGGGACAAGUGAACAAGAAGGCCCGGGCCAGGACUAUGCCAGAGGCUGGGCCAAGAUCUCCCCUGGUGAAAGCCUUUAACAAUGCCAGAGUGAGGAACUGACAGUCAAGCUCAAGGUUAUCUGCAUAUUACAUAGCAUUCGUUGCUGUGCCUGCUAAAGUUAAAUAUUCAUGCUCUAAAUAAGAAAUUUGUUUCAGAGUAGUUUUAGUUUUUAACUAAAUCUUUGUGUCAUCUUUCUAAAGCUCUGAGAAGAGAAACAUCUUCUUUAAAGAGAGUAAACAGUUGCAUAAAACAGUAAGUUUAGACCCUGAUAUGUCUGGCUUUCCACUUGAACACCUCUACCAUUCAUGGGCUCUCGGACUACGGGGAAAGUUCAGUUCUGACUGCCCCAGAGCCUUAGAUACUCCAUAUGUUUUUCUUAAUAAUGGCCACCUGUUAUGUAUUUUAGGUUAUUUAGUCCAAGUUGUAAUUGCCCAUCCUGCAACUAUUUGUUGAUACUGUACCAUGCACCAGAUGCUGUUCUAGUAACCUUAGAUAUAGCAUUGGAGAAAAUAAAGAUCUUUGUGCUCAUAAAGCUUGCAUUCUAGAGGAGAAAACAGUUAAUAAUCUAAGCAAAAUAAAAAUAUAUUUUAAAAGUCAAUAUUCAAAGCACAGAAUGGCAUUAUUAGAACAUAUCUAUCUGUAUGAGACAGGCCAGGACCUAGGACCUGGGACCCUUUGCUGCAGCGGCUGCAACGCCUGCAUCUAGACAAACAUCUUGAGCAAUAACAUACAAAGAAACUAUACGGGACUAAAAACAAUUGCCUACAUGCUAUAAUAGGGGCAAAUUAUGGGAAAGAAGAUACAACCCCCACCCCCUAAAAACCCAACUGCCACUUUUGAAGAGCAGAGCAAAAGCAGGGUGCUAUGCAUGCCCUCUGCACACAAAGCCACCAAAGGGGUGGGCAGACUACCUAAGUCACCCCUAUGGCCCAAACCCUGGACUCUCCCCUCAUAUAAGGAAACAGCUUGCCCUCCAAGCAAGCAAGCAAGCAAGCAAGGAAGGGAACCUGCUGCUUGUUGUCACUCCCCCUUGCUGCAGCAAGAGCCCCAAUAAAGUCUUGUCUGUCUGACCUCAUCAAUUUCCAUUGAAUAGGAAGGCCAAGAGCCCUGGAUGGUAACAUGUUUACUGCCUAUCUGUUCUCUUAGAGUGAAAGUACUGUUUGUUCCUACUACACACCAGUGCCUAAUCCAAUGUAGUGGAUGCUAAAUGAGUAUUUGGAGGAGUUGUGAAAGAUAAAGAGAAAAACAUGAAAAUGAUUAAUUCUAAUGCACUGGAAGGCACUUGCAUUAGUUUGCUCAGGCUGCCCUUCUGGUGUCUCUGUAUGUCCGAAUUUCUUCUCCUUAAAAGGACAGCAGUCAUACUGGAUAAGAGCCCACUCUAAAGAUCUCAUUUAAAUUACUUAAUUCUUUAAAAACCUUAUUUCCAAUUAUAGUCACAUUCUGAAGUUCUGGGAUUUAGAAUUUAGAUGUAUGGGAGGGGGGGACUGUAGAUACAAUUCAGCCCAUUAACACCAGAAAUGAGAAACUUUUAAACCUUCAGGCAUACUAUUUUAAUGAUCUUCACAGCAACUUUUAACAUAGCAGAGAGACUUGUAUUAUUGUAAUCUCUAUCUAGUAUAUAGAUAAGAUAACUCUGGGUAACAAACAGUACACAGAAUCGUGACCUCAAAUCAAGUGCUCAGUCCCCAAGAUCACAAUGCCUCUACAAGCUGUUACUUCCUCUAGUCUCAAUGAGAUACAGUUCUGAGUUGCUGAAGUCCAGCUUGGGCAAGGCAGAGUAGAACUGCAAUAGAACAACUCCCCUUAACAGUGUAGAAUAGGAAGCUGUACUUGACAAUUUAAUUGGCAUGAAUAAUGGAAAAAGGGAGGCUAAAUGCCUUUAAACAAAUGUGAAUGCCCUGUCAUCUGGGGUUUGCUUGGCUAUUUUUCACUGAGGCUGUUCAAAUCCAACCAAAGGCAUCCCUGACAGGUCUUACCCAGAAAACUCUAAUUUUAAAAAGUGCUGACAUGGCCAUGGGCAUUGCUCUUGAGAUGUAGGCAGAUCUGAUACACAUUCACCUUUUUAUAAAGUCUUGCUCCAGCCCUGUCCAAGUACAAAU
rnacentral:lncRNA from 1 species